GACGAACGCUGACGGCGUGCCUAAUACAUGCAAGUCGAGCGGAACUGGGGGAGCUUGCUCCUUCCAGUUUAGCGGCGGACGGGUGAGUAACACGGGGGCAACCUGCCCUGCAGAUCGGGAUAACUCCGGGAAACCGGUGCUAAUACCGAAUAGUUUGGCGCCUCUCCUGAGGCGCUACGGAAAGACGGUUUCGGCUGUCACUGCAGGAUGGGCCCGCGGCGCAUUAGCUAGUUGGUGGGGUAACGGCCCACCAAGGCGACGAUCCGUAGCCGACCUGAGAAGGUGACAGGCAACGCUGGGACUGAGCCACGGCCCCGACUCCUACGGGGGGCAGGAGAAAGGAAUCUUCCGCAGUGGACGAAAGACUGACGGAGCAACGCCGCGUGAGUGAAGAAGGUUUUCGGAUCGUAAAACUCUGUUGUGAGGGAAGAACACGUACCAACUAACUAUUGGUACCUUGACGGUACCUCGCCAGAAAGCCGCGGCUAACUACGUGCCAGCCGCCGCAGUAA
rnacentral:rRNA from 1 species